UGGGGAAUUUUGGACAAUGGACGCAAGUCUGAUCCAGCCAUGCCGCGUGCGGGAAGAAGGCCUUCGGGUUGUAAACCGCUUUUGUCAGGGAAGAAACGAGUUUCUCUAAUACGGAGACUUAAUGACGGUACCUGAAGAAUAAGCACCGGCUAACUACGUGCCAGCAGCCGCGGUAAUACGUAGGGUGCAAGCGUUAAUCGGAAUUACUGGGCGUAAAGCGUGCGCAGGCGGUUAUAUAAGACAGAUGUAAAAUCCCCGGGCUCAACCUGGGAACUGCAUUUGUGACUGUAUAGCUAGAGUACGGCAGAGGGGGAUGGAAUUCCGCGUGUAGCAGUGAAAUGCGUAGAUAUGCGGAGGAACACCGAUGGCGAAGGCAAUCCCCUGGGCCUGCACUGACGCUCAUGCACGAAAGCGUGGGGAGCAAACA
rnacentral:rRNA from 1 species